UAAACGUAAAUAUUGGUUAAUAUAUAAUUUUUAUAUUAUUUGAAAUCCAAAAACUCUAUGUGGGGCUAUUGAAUGGUUGGAAAAGGCUCAGGCUUACUUAUGAAAAGUAGAAAUAGAGGUGAAUCAGUUCUGACUAAAUUGAUAUUCUUAUCUUGAGAUAUAGCCAGAAAAAUCGAAUUUUGAUUAAUCGAACGAUUCUGAAAUAAUUAGAAAAUUAUAAAAAUGAAAUUGAACAACAAAAUAUUGGGCUAAUUAUUCAAUCAAAUGAUUUUGGGUUCGUUUCUUGUUCAACAUGGGGCUUAAUGGGAUUGAGACAUGGCCAAACUCUUGCGGGAGGCGACAAUGGGAAACUCUCUACAAUAGGUGAAAGCUUGAUGAAGCAACGUCUCGUGAAAGUGGAUUCGUUUCUUAUUCAACAUGGGGCUUAAUGGGAUUGAGACAUGGCCAAACUCUUGCGGGAGGCGACAAUGAGAAACUCUCUACAAUAGGUGAAAGCUUGAUGAAGCAACGUCUCGUGAAAGUGGAAGGUCCAUUGGGUGUGGACUUGGUGAUAUAUGGGAAAUAAGUAGGGCUGAGUAAUUGAUUGAGUCGAAUUGAGUUAAAAUUUUUUUAAUUAGUCGAGUUGGUAAAUUCUAUUUUAGCAAUUGAAUUAAUUUGAAUUUUUACCGAAUCGAAUUGAAUCAAAAAAUUUUGAGUCAAAUUGAGUUAAGUUAACGAAUUUUAUUAUUUAUACUUAGUGUUAUGUUUAGAUGGACCCAUUAUUUAAUUAGUAGACGAAGUACAAUAUUAUUUAACUAUAUAAACAAUAUAAUGAUUUUACCUUUUAACUUUAACAGGUAAAUAUUUAUCAAAACG
rnacentral:lncRNA from 1 species